rnacentral:rRNA from 1 species
UACGGAGGAUGCAAGCGUUAUCCGGAAUGAUUGGGCGUAAAGCGUCCGCAGGUGGCUAUGUAAGUCUGCUGUUAAAGAGCAAAGCUUAACUUUGUAAAAGCAGUGGAAACUACAUAGCUAGAGUGCGUUCGGGGCAGAGGGAAUUCCUGGUGUAGCGGUGAAAUGCGUAGAGAUCAGGAAGGACACCGGUGGCGAAGGCGCUCUGCUAGGCCGCAACUGACACUGAGGGACGAAAGCUAGGGGAGCGAAUGGG